rnacentral:rRNA from 1 species
CAUGUAGGCGGCCGCGUCAGUCAGGUGUGAAAUCCCUCGGCUCAACCGAGGAACUGCAUCUGAUACUGCGUAGCUAGAGUGCGGGAGGGGAGAACGGAAUUCCUGGUGGAGCGGUGAAAUGCGUAGAUAUCAGGAGGAACGCCGGAGGCGAAAGCGGUUCUCUGGCCCGCUACUGACGCUGAGUGUGCGAAAGCGUAGGGGGGCAAACA